rnacentral:lncRNA from 1 species
GUUUCUUCAUAUAUCAGAGUAUAGGAUAUAUUGUAUUCUACUUGUUGAAGUUGUAAUCUUUUAAAGUUAUAUUCUGAGUUUAACUUGAAAAACGAACACGUAAUCAAUCAGACCAGUUGCUUUGGUUUAUAACUUGGGUGUAAGGGGCAUUUAUGAAUGUAACUAUCAGUGUAAGCAUACAAUGGAAUUACGACACCUUUGGUAGAAAGAUGAAGGCUGUUGGAGCAAGUGAUCAUGGAGUGAGAUUGAAGCCAACUCUUAACUUACUAACAAAAACAAAUGUCAAUUUCAUAUUUACCAAAAGAUCAUCAUCAGUUAUGGAGUGGUUGGAGAUGAAGUGAUGAUGAUAGUGAUGGUUUCCGGUGACCGAACGACCGGAAUGAAAGCAGUGGUGAUGGUCGAUAGUGGUGGUUGCGGUUCAAGUUGGUGACGGUGAUGGUCGAUAGUGGUUUUUUUAAUUAAUAUUUUGAGGAUUGUUGGAAGGAGGUUUGUUAAGGUAUUUCUUGCUGUGGGUUGUCCAAAAAUAGCCACAAAAUUGGGUUAAAAUUGCACUUUCUUUUUAAUUUUUUGAUGUGGGUUGUAUUGGAGUGACAAAACUUUAAAAAUAUGCUACAGGUGAGUUCUAUUGGAGUGACCUAUGGUUGAGGUGUUUUGUGAGUUUGGGAGGGAAUUCAUUCCCAAAGCUCAAUACAUAAAUAAACAUACAUUGGACGCGGAAUCCGUUUUGAUGUCGGGUUAUCUUAUACCCGUUCAUUCGGAUCUAUAUAAAAGGCACUACCCAGUAAUUCAGACCACUUUCUUUCCUGUUCCCUCUAAACCCUGGCCGACAACUUCAUCGUAUUCUUUGUUCUUCUUUGCUAAUCUGCCCUCUCAAUUCGAAGAUGAAGAUGAGCAUCAGUCUUGAUGUAAACUCCAUGGCGUCCAGGCUAACAAGAGAUCUGGGCACUCCAAAUAAGUGAGACAGGCAAGAGUAAGACAGCCGCAAAUAUCUUUUUUCGUGCUCACAUGAAUUGGAACCUUUAGUUAUGUUUUUGGAUGAUAUUAUUUUUUUGUUUAAUUUUAUAGUUCAUUUUUAGUUUUGUAAAUCAUGAAGAAUAAGAGCCUUUUAACAGCUGCUUAAUAACCCAUUUUCUCAAGUGUUGUUGGUGCUGGUAUAUUUGCUUUAAGAAGUAUUGGUUAGAAAUUGGAAGGAUAUAUGCUCGGUUCUGAAAGACGCUGUCAAAGUUGGAGUAGGUGGGGAAGAAAAGUUGGGGGACAAAGCGCGGAUGGAGAGGGAAAAAAAUUCUUAGUCACUCAGUUUAUAAAUGAGGCGGCAAAUCGGAUCCGGAACAAGGUGGCGGCUGAAGAUUUUAGAUGGAACCUAUGAGUUCUAAAAGAGGUCCUUUUCUUUAUCUGGAAGCUCGUGCAGGGCUGCAUCGCUGAAAAAAUUGUGCUUCUGCAGCGUGGGGUUUCUAUUAUGUUAACGAGAGUUUUGCCUAUUGAGGAGAGACUCGGAACUUUGGAAGUGAUGGGUUCAAAAGCAUCUCAGCUCAUAUAAAAGAUAUUACAUCCAGUUAUGAAGCAGUUUGCUCCAGAAGAUGGUUUGGUUUCUUUGAUGGUUUGCUCUAGAUCUUGUGAUAACGAGUUUAAUUUGUUACAUCCUAUGGAUAUUGUUGGCAAAACGAAAGAGCAUACUUCUCUCCUGAAAGGGUCACCGUGGUUUCCAUAUGCACCCAAUAACAAAUUCAAUUUGGCAGGUGGCAGGAUACUGAGUUUCCUGUGACAUAAAGAGACCGUCUAGGUCUUCGAAGAAGAGCAAAACAAUUUACUUAAACAUAUGGAGAAAAGAGACACGAAAUAUAUGCGCCUUCAGAGGCAUAAAAUGGGUGCCGAUGAUUUUGAGCCAUUAACAAUGAUAGGAAAAAGGUCCAUUUGGAGAGGUUAGAAUAUGUAGGGAGAAGACUACCGGCAAUGUGUAUGCAAUGAAAAAACUUAAAAA